AGCGAACGCUGGCGGCAGGCUUAACACAUGCAAGUCGAGCGGGCAUCUUCGGAUGUCAGCGGCAGACGGGUGAGUAACACGUGGGAACGUACCCUUCGGUUCGGAACAACUCUGGGAAACUGGAGCUAAUACCGGAUACGCCCUUAUGGGGAAAGGUUUACUGCCGAAGGAUCGGCCCGCGUCUGAUUAGCUAGUUGGUGGGGUAACGGCCUACCAAGGCGACGAUCAGUAGCUGGUCUGAGAGGAUGAUCAGCCACACUGGGACUGAGACACGGCCCAGACUCCUACGGGAGGCAGCAGUGGGGAAUAUUGGACAGUGGGCGCAAGCCUGAUCCAGCCAUGCCGCGUGAGUGAUGAAGGCCUUAGGGUUGUAAAGCUCUUUUGUCCGGGACGAUAAUGACGGUACCGGAAGAAUAAGCCCCGGCUAACUUCGUG
rnacentral:rRNA from 1 species